CACCAUACAGAACUGUUAAGGCUUGUUUAGAUUCCAAACAUGUUUUCCUUAAGUAAAUCCAUAUCUAGUAACAAUAGUUAUAUUCUCUGUUUCUUGCUCUGUAGUGAAAGGUGAAGCACUGUUUUCUCUUAGACCUCACAUCAGCUUUACAGGUGCUCAGAGAUGCCAUCAACAGAUAUUAAAGGUGAUACACCACAAAAUAAAAGAGGCUAAGGUGCAGUGCUGCUCAGGGAAUACAAAAACUUUAGCUUUGUGUUGUGGUGCUAAAGGGAUGAACUGUUAAUAUACCAUUAAAGAAUACAGAUGGAAUGUGUGGGGGUCAAUGGCUUUUGAACUGAAAUCCUCCCCAGGUGAGCAUUGGAGGCUGCUCCCCAGGUGACAAUGCUUCUCCUGCACAACUGCCUUCCAUCUCACUGCACCUGCUGCUCUAGAUAAGGCAGAACCUUAGCUCUGUUCUCACCCAUGCUCAAGCUCUGUGUGUUGGAUGGUUUGCAGACUGGUGCAGGACUAUUUCUUCCACUGUUGCCUUUGCUUGCUUGGGUGUCCUUUCCUUUGGUGGCCUGCAGCAGAAGUGAGACUAGAGAGGUGUUUAUUUUUGCCUGAGCUCUGCAGAGAAGAUGCUUUGCUGUGCUAUGCUUUGUUUUGCUGUGCACCACGUUCCCCAGUGUAAAAUGGUCUGCUGCCUUUCCCUGCCUUGUAGCAUCUCUGCGAGACAUGACUGUGAUUACUUUAGCAUGUGUUCUCAUCCUGAAUACCUCACUUAUGGAAGUGAAUAUAGUCCACGCUCUUAUCAGUCUGGGUGAGACUUGGAGAGAGCCCACAAACUGCUCAGAGCCCCUAAAGUCUCAGGGACUCCUUCCUGAUCACAGCUAUCCUCCAAGGGACUGUUUGGUGGAGCAGGUGGUGUCCUUAAAUCAUGGACUUCUUGGAACUUUGAAGAUAUGUGUUUUAAAUUAGCCAUGUGAACUACUUUGCAAAAUGUGGCUGAAGAAUGCAGGCGACCAAGAGAGGAAUGCCACCGUGACUCAGCUGAUGUCCAUUCAGUCUGGUAGCUGCUCAGUUAUGGGAGUUUUCCUUUGAAUAGACAGCAAUGCAUUAUGACUCUAGGAUGGAAGAAUGCUGGAUUUGCCUUUACUCAUAGGAUCUAUGAAGGUUUAGUGCCUGUAUGUAUUAAACCACAUCUAUAUAAUACAAGCACUGCAUUCACAUUUGGUAGCAUAAUGUUUCUGCAGAGGUGUCUUAUAACAUGUGCUUAGACACAUACACACAAGACUCCUGGACAUAUGACUUCUUUCAGAAAGAUCUUAGAAUCCCAUCACCAGUCUG
rnacentral:lncRNA from 1 species